rnacentral:lncRNA from 1 species
CCAAUUGCCAGUUUAGCCAGCAGAGGAAUGGGGCAACAGCUGAGGCCUAGGGAGGAUUGAUUGAUUGAUUUACUUACUGACUGACUGACUUUGCUGAGGAAGAUUGGCCCUGAGCUAACAUCUGUUGCCAAUUUUCCUCUUUUUGCUUGAGAAAGAUUGUCCCUGAGCUAACAUCUGUGCCAAUCUUGCUCUAUUUUAUACAUGGGACACCACCACAAUGUGGCUUGACAAGCAGUAUGUGGGUCUGUCCCAGGAUCCGAACCCCAAAACCCGGGGCCACCAGAGCGGAGCAUGCGAACUUCGCCACUAUACCACCAGGCCAGCCCCAGAGGGAAGAUUUUUAAAGGUGGGAAAAUUCACAGGAUGUGUAUGUGCUGACAAGACUCAUCCAGAAGAGAAAGAAAGAAAUGGUGGUGCAGGAGCGAGAAGACAUAAUUAUGGGAGCAGUGUCCCCAAUUACAUGAGGAGGUGGAAUCCAGGGCACUGUGGGAGGGGAGCCAUGGAGCUGUGGUUGAAUAGAGGGGAUGCAAUAAGUCAACCAGCAUUGAUUGAGUACCUAGUGUGUAUGUGGCACUGUGCUGGGGACCGUGGGAAAUACAGAGAAGAGCAGAAGUUCACAGCCCACCCUACCAGCAGCAAGGACAGCUGAGGAGGAUUGUGUGGGUCCAUUGAAGACAGAGCACGAGAGAUAGACUCGGUGAAUCUUGGUCAAAAACCUAAAUAGUGGCUUCCUGUGUUCGCCGGUGCAUUUCCUGCUGUCAUGAACUACUAAUAAAUUCAGACAUCGCUUUCAGUUACUCUCGAUCUGAGGUUUCCGAAGAGGCCAAUGAAACUCUUAGUGAUGGGCAUGCUGAAGUUAUUUCAAUAUUUUUAAAAUCAGAUAGAAAUCAUAUAUUUAACUACCAUAAGCAGAGUAAAUAGCCAGUGUCUUUACUUUUGGCUGGAAUUGAGCAACUUCAUGCAGCAUUUCUUGGUGGCCAGGAGCUUGGUUGGCAGUUCUGUGCCUCUAAUAACAAUGGGGAAGUACUUACUUAAAAUGCCAUUUGUUUGAUGGAAAGUAGCUUUUAAAAUAUAUGGCCAGGGAGUAAACUAAUA